GAAAGUUUUGGUCAUCAUUAUUCCGAACAGUUUGGUGAAAGCAGAAAAUUACAAAACUGUACAGAUUUUAUGCACUUUUCCUGAAGCUGAUCGUGAGAAUUUCAAUUCGAUUACCAGAUACCUGCAGCAACUAAAUGAACUGAAGGAUAAUCACUCGGCGUGCGGUUUAAUGCAAUUGGAUGUGCCUCUUUUAGUUACGAUGAUCAGCUCAUUGGCCACAUACAUGAUUAUUCUAAUACAGUUUAAUGAAAGCUCAGUUUCAUUGAAUUGUUCAAACACUACAACUUAUAAGUGUUAAACUGUAAACAAUAACUAAAAAUUCA